GCAUCAGUGGAAGACUGAAUAAAGUGUGAGGAAACACCUGAUAAAGGGGCAUCCUACUGGGAACCAGAGGUGGGAAGAGUAGGAAGGGACUAAAAGCAGGAGAGAGGAUGGAAACAAUGGAAAGUCCUCAUCCCUUUCCUUCCUCCCCGCUCAUCCUUGGCUAUCAAUAGCCCGGGUGAUAAAACCUUUUUAAACCUAAAGGAAAGGAUUCAACCAAAGGCCAGAGGAUGCACAAAGCUGUAGGAAACUGCGCCCAGGCAAUGGGGUCGUGGGAUCAGGCUGUUCCAGCAGAGUCCUCCCCGUCAAGGCCAGGUUUUUUCACUCUCACCGUUCUCUCACUCUUCCCCUCCAAGGGGUGAGGGAGCUUUGAGGGUGGGCAGCUCUCCAGCGUAGGAUAUGGUCAUUGCAAUAUUUUCUAAUGCAGAGCUCUUCAUUUGGGUUAUGCAAGAGCCUGUGAGCCCAGCUACGUAUGUGUACUCAGAUGUCUUCAUUCUGCUCUGUAUCUAAUUUAAUUACGUGCUUCCUGUCUCAUUUAGCUGAGCGGCCUCCCGCGGCUCCAGCCCGGUGUCUGCGUUAUCAGCCCUUGUUUUGGAACACCAAAACCCAGCCGUGUCGCAACGCUCGAGCCGUGCUCCCUUCCCGUAUGUGUGCCGCGGCACCGCCAGCACGAAGCCCACCGCCCACCCAUGGACCAGCCUGGCCCCUCGCAUCGCCAGCACUGUCCUCGUGGGGUUUGGUCCCUCCAGGGAGGUCCUGGCAGCCCCAGAUGGGUGCCCUGGGUGCUCGGGAGAAGAAGCGAUCCUGUGGGGGCCGUGUACCGAACACUCACCUUUGGGCCAGGAGGAGGGCACUGGGGCCAGGUCGCUGCCUGCUCCUACUUGCCAGACCUGAGGGAUGCUCUGCGUGCCCCCAGCCCUUCCCACGUAAGCCUUUCCUCUGGGGGCAAAGGGUUCCCCCGGCUCCAGCCCUGAGGAACCCCUUCCCACUCAUCCCUCCCCUGUCACCGCUCUCCAGGCUCCUUCCCUGCAGCUCCUUCAGCCUUUCCCAGCAGUUGUUUUAG
rnacentral:lncRNA from 1 species